CGGAUGUGAAAUCCCGGGGCUCAACCCCGGAAGGUCUUUCGAUACUGCCAGUCUUGAGUAUGGGAGGGGGCAGUGGAAUUCCUGGUGUAGAGGUGAAAUUCGUAGAUAUCAGGAGGAACACCGGUGGCGAAGGCGACUUCCUGGACCCAUACUGACGCUGAGGCGCGAAAGCGUGGGGAGCAAACAGGAUUAGAUACCCUGGUAGUCCACGCCGUAAACGUUGAUCACUAAGUGUCGCGGGUUCGACCCCUGUUGUGCCGCAGCUAACGCAUUAAGUGCUCCGCCUGGGGAGUACGGUCGCAAGGUUAAAACUCAAAGGAAUUGACGG
rnacentral:rRNA from 1 species